GAAUUUUGGAUAAUGGGGGCAACCCUGAUCCAGCCAUUCCGCGUGAGUGAAGAAGGCCUUCGGGUUGUAAAGCUCUUUUGUCCGGAACGAAACGGUGAGCGUGAAUAUCGCUCGCUACUGACGGUACCGGAAGAAUAAGCACCGGCUACCUACGUGCCAGCAGCCGCGGUAAUACGUAGGGCGCGAGCGUUAAUCGGAAUUACUGGGCGUAAAGCGUGCGCAGGCGGUUUUGUAGGCCAGAUGUGAAAUCCCCGGGCUUAACCUGGGAAUGGCAUUUGGGACUGCAAGGCUGGAGUUUGGCAGAGGAGACUGGAAUUCCCGGUGUAGCAGUGAAAUGCGUAGAUAUCGGGAGGAAUACCGAUGGCGAAGGCAGGUCUCUGGGCUAUAACUGACGCUCAUGCACGAAAGCGUGGGGAGCAAACAGG
rnacentral:rRNA from 1 species